rnacentral:rRNA from 1 species
AUACGGAGGAUCCGAGCGUUAUCCGGAUUUAUUGGGUUUAAAGGGUGCGCAGGCGGCCAUUUAAGUCAGCGGUUAAAUCGUGGGGCUCAACCCCAUUCUGCCGUUGAUACUGGGUGGCUUGAUUGCGGUCGAGGUUGGCGGAAUUCGUUGUGUAGCGGUGAAAUGCAUAGAUAUGACGAAGAACACCGAUUGCGUAGGAAGCUGACCAGACCGCAAAUGACGCUCAUGCACGAAAGUUCUGGGAUCGAACAGGAUUAGAUACCCUGGUAGUCCGCACAGUAAACGAUGAAUACUGGUUUUCGGCGAUAUAAUGUCGGAGGCAAAGCUAAAGCGAUAAGUAUUCCACCUGGGGAGUACGCCGGCAACGGUGAAACUCAAAGGAAUUGACGGGG